rnacentral:rRNA from 1 species
GAUGAACGCUGGCGGUAUGCCUAACACAUGCAAGUCGAGGGGCAUCAUAAUUGAUUCUUGCUUUAAUUGAUGGCGACCGGGGGAUGGGUGAGUAACGCGUAUGCCACCUGGCUUAUACACGACGAUAGACACUGAAAGCGGUGCGUAAUACUGGGUAAUGUUAUCGGGAGGCAUCUCUUGAUAAGAAAAGAUUUCUAUUGGAAUAACAUGGGCAUGCUUAGGAUUAUCUAGAUGGUGAGGUAACGGCUUACCGUGGCCACGAUCUUUACGGGUUCUGAGAGGAAGGUCCCCCACAUUGCAACUGAGAACGGAGCCCACUCCUACGGGAGGCAGCAGUGAAGAAUAUUGGGCAAUGGGCGGAAACCUGAACCAGCCAUACCGCGUGCAAGAGGGCGGCCUUAUGGGUUGUAAACUGCUUUUAUAUUGGGAUAAAGGGCUUGUCCAGAACAAGCAAUUGAAUGUACAGUAUGAAUAAGUAUCGGCUAUCUCC